UCUAUAGGUUCCAAGACAAAAAUGUUUAUCCUUUUCUUCUCCUUCUUAAAAAAACUCAAGAACUACUUUUUCUUUUUCCUUUCAUUCCUUUUAAAAGAAACUAAAGAACAGAGAGUUAAUCUCUUCAUGUGCGAUAAGAUCAUACAAAACAAAAAACAAAGAUAAAGAUUUAGAGAUGGAAGACAAUGUUGAGAUUGAGAUUGAGAUUGAGAGAAGAGAAGACGCAACAGCAACUCCAACUCCAACUCGAUGUUUUUGUUGGUGACAGAGGAUGGAAGCACUACUAGAGGCGUCAGUUAUGGUCACCCCUAAGGUGGCAGUGGUAGACGUAUUUGCUUAUGGUGAUUAGAUUUGUACAAUGUUAUACCAUUAAAGCCUUCCUCUUAUCCGGUUUAGUUAGAUUCUUAAGGUAUUUCUCUAAACCUAAGUCAAGAAUUAAUUUUAAUGGAUUUAGUUACAUACACUUUAUGAAGAUUGACUCUUGAAAUUGAAUCUAAAACUGUUAAAUGCAUGUUGGAAUUAAGUUGGAUUUGUGAAAUGCUCCAAGAAAUAAAUUAAAAGCAUUAGGGACAUGCUUAAUGCUUGUGAAUACAGUUUUUGAUAAAUUGGUAUUGAAUAAAUUUGAAUUAUUAAUAUUCUUAGUUAUUGAAUAAAUUGAAAUAAUUGUUAUUCUUAACAUAUGUAAAAUAAAAAUACUUGAAUGAGUGGUUGAAAGUGAACUUGGAAACUAAAAAAUGGUCUACAACGACGCACCAAAUAAUUUAUGUGUUUAAAAGACAUUUAUUGAUAAUGAUUCGAAGCAGAUGAAGCAGAAGAGGGUGAUGUAAGGGACAACAAGAGUAGAUAGACAGUGGAGUGGCGGGAGUUAUAUUGAAGGAAAUCCGGCCUAGAACAGGACCCGGCCCGGGUCGGAUACUGUCAUAAGAUGGUCUCUGAAUUUAUAUGUAUAUAUAAUUGAUAAACAUUUAAAUAAUAAUCUGUAAGUUAAUUAAUACUAAAAGAUAUAACUAAUUUAAUUAUUUAUAAUUGAUAAAUAUCUAUUAUACUGUUAAGAAUAAUAUAGUUAGAGAAAUUGAGUAAAUUAACAAAAUGCUAUGGGUAAGUAUAAGAAAUUAACCACUUGAUUAUCAUUUUUGUAAAAUGACUAUCUACUUUGGAAUGGUCCAUUACAGAGUAAGUUAUCCAGCCCAGGCGACCAACCCAUUUUGUAUAGUGUUUCGGAAUGAAUGUUCACUACAUAUGAGAUUCUAGAAUAUAAGCUGAAAUAUCUUUAUAUUUCAGAUUAAGUAUGGAAAGAAGAAAUGACAUUUGAUUCCAAUGAGUUUGAAGUUUUACAGUUCAUUUACAUCUACUUAUUGAUUUUUUCUAGUUUAACUGAGCACCCUAAAUCUGAAACAUGAAUAAUAUGUUGGGAAUGCAAAUAUCAGGAAUUUCUUAUUAAUCGAUACAAAGUGUCUUAGAUAGGUAGUUAUUUAGUCUUAAUAGCGACCCAAAAUAUUAGAUAAGUAGUUAGGUUAACAAUAGUAACCUACUAGUAAUUUCAGAAUGAUUUUUGUUUUCCAGAAUACAAAGAACAAUUAUGGAAUACAAUGAACUAAUCUGAAUAUGAAUAAACAGUCUUAGUAAUGACCCAAAAGAUUGGAUAAGUAGUUUUUUUAAAACAGCAAAUCUAAUUUACCCAUAAACUCCUCCUAAUUUCACUUAUGUCCAAAACGGGACUUAUACAUCGACCGCAAGUAAGAAGGGUAACACCUAAUAUUGCUAGGUUAGAAACUGUUUGGAAGAAACUCAAUGAUUUAGUGUUGAACCAUUUAGAUUUUAUGAUGCAUGAACCAUUAUGAAGCUUGAAUCAUUCAUGUGGAUACUUGUUGAACGGAUAUUUUGAAUGAAAAAAUUAUCAUUUUACCCUUCCAACAAAAACAACUUCAACUGCAUAUAAAAUAGGAUAGUAAAAAAUACAUUUUUUAAAGGCACAAAUAUUUAACAACAAACUAAUGUAAUAAAUAUAUUAGUAAUUAGAAAAAGAAAAUUAGUUAACGGGGAUGUUAUUAGGGGUGAGAAUUUGGUUAGAUGGACCGGUACCAAUUUUAUGUAUUUGGGCCGGAUUUCGGUUCUUGGAUUGUCAAUUUGGCAGUUCCAAUUGUACUAUACGUAAUAAAUAAUGGACCCGACCGGUUGAAUGCAAUGAAUGUUGUACACAUCCAAGAACCAGAAAAACGGUCCAAAUGCACACGCUAGGUGUAAAGCCAUUUGUUUUGUGCCUAGGUACAAACUAAACGAAAGUGAAACCAAGAGAAGAGAAUGAAUUUUUUUUACAAGCUUUAUAUCCAUAUGAUUUUCACCAGAAACACAACACAACACAACACAGACACAGACCCAGUUCCAACUUCAUCACUGUUCUAAUUUUCUACAUAUCUCCCUCUCCUUCUACGUAAAUGGCAACACUUCCAUUCCCAUCAACAACAUCCUCAAGAGGCCUUUUUUUUAGCAGAAAAGCUCUUGCCUCUCAACAUAAAAUAGUAAUAGUAAUAAUAAUAAUAAUACAAAAGGCUUUCUUACACUCUCUACUAUUAUAAAGAUGAAGAUCGUGUGUUCUUCUUCAGUGUAUAAAAACUUAACUCUGUAGUAAACCUAUGUUGACUGACCUGAACUUGAAGACGACUGCUUUGACUUACUCCCGUUUUCUUCACCACUCAGCAAAUGUGGUGGAGCCAAGUUGAACCCGUUUUCCUUGAUGGACCCAAACGGGUCCUCUUUCUGUUUUUGGAAAGCUUCUAUUCGUUUUAAAGAUGGAACGUUUCCGUUACAGUAGCCUCGCCACAUGUCCCGGUAAGCAGAUUCCAAUCCGGUGAUGAAUUUGGAUCCGUUGCAGAGAGGGGAAUUGGCCAUGAGAUUCCGGAGGUCCAUUCUCAGGUUUGAGAGUGCGGUGAUGUUUGAAGCUAACUCCAGUGCUGACCGGAUAUAUUCUUCUUCGUUUUUUGCAACAAGGUGUUUUAAGCCUGGAAUUACAAAGUAAAAUCAAAUUUACUAAUAUAUAAAUCAACUCUUAGUCUUAGCUUACUUAGGUAGGCCAUAAUCGAAAAGGAAUGGAAUGGAGUACUCCUAAUGUGAAUCUUUUUUCAUUCUGGAAUGGAAUAGUAUAUUAUAGAGUAAAUCACAUUUUUGAUCCCUGAGUAUAGCUGUUUUCAGUUUUGGUCCUAAAAAUCGUACUCUCGCAAUUUUGGUCCAUGUUCCAAGUAAAAUUACUGUUUUCAAGACCAAAAUUGCAAUAGUCACUGAUACGCAAGGACUAAGAAUGGUCAUUUUACUUGGAACAGAGAACAAAAAUGUUACCAAAACUUGUUGAAACCAAAAUUGAAUAAAAUUAGCUUAUAAUAGACUCUAUAUCACAUCUAUAAUCUAUUUAAUUUUUUUUAUUCAAGUGAUAAGUACACUUUUUUCAGAUGACAAGAAAUAUAGUUAUCUACAAUUUGUUUAACGUAAUAUAAUUAUUUAUUACCUUGUUCAUUCCAUAUUUCCAUUCCAACAAUCACAGGGAAAUAAAUGUGAAGUGGAAAAAUAAAAGAUUGAAGAGGUCUUACCAACUGCAUUUAAAAGACUGACACCAACAUUAUGCGCGUGUACUGACCCACCCAUGGUGACACAUGGCACUCCCAUGUAAAGAGAUUCACAUGUGGUUGUAGUUCCAGCAUAUGGAAAAGUAUCCAAGCUGCAUACAAAAAAAAUUAAAUAUCUUUUUUUCUGCAACCAUUUGAAUUGAAGAUAUGAACAAGAAGGAAGAUUUAAAGAUUGACCUGAUGUCCAUAAGAGAAUAGGCUUGCAUAUGAUCAUGAUUUAGCAGAAUCAAAGGCAAAAGAUCAACACGUAAAGAUUCCAAACCUAAUUGCUCCAAUGUAGCCAGGAAUCUCUGUCUUACACUAUCACAGCAGAAAGGUUUGCACUUGACAAUAAGCCGAGAGUUUGGAACUGCACAUAAAAUCUUCGCCCAAACUUGAAGCACUUUCGGAGUUAUCUGAUACAUCAAUCAAAUCAAAUCAAACUCAAUGCUUGCUUGCUUGCUUGCUUUGUUAUUAAUUAAUGAAUGAAAACAACAAGACAUACAUACGGAUGUUUUUAUAUUAUAAUUAUAAUACCUUUGCUAAAUUGUUGAAACUACCAAAUGUAACAAAACCGUUUGAAAGAGCAGGUGCUGGUGAUGCGGGACCCGCCUCGGGAGAUGGUGUGUAACAAAGAAAACAGUCUGGUAACCGAACCAGGUCCUCAACAUGCCUGCCCAUAAUAAUACAUACAAAUAUAAAAUACUUGCAUAUACUUUACUUUAUUAUUUAUAAUAAAACUUGUAUGUCGGAUCAUUAGAAUAUAAAAGAAUACAGAUGGUUUGUUUGGUUCGAUGGAAUGGAAUGAGUAGUUACAUUCCGUGAUCCUGUUUUGCUGGCCAGUAGGAAUGGAAUGAAUUUUCACAUAAAUUUUUAAUAUUCUAUAGGUUAAGUAAAUACAGUGUAUAAUUUCAAUUCUACUUUCUAAAUUAUUUUAAUCAUAACGAAUCAACUUUUAAAUAAUUAAACAUAGUAAAAGCUCACUAAAGAGUAACAAAAAAUUAUACUUUUUAGUUAUUUUAGAAAAAAAUAAAAUUGUAAUUUAAUUAAAACUAUGAAAUUUUAUUCAUUAAAAUAACAUAAAUAAAAGUUGUGCUAUAUUGCAAAUUCUCAUUCCAUGAUGGACCAGAAAUAAAUAAAUAAAUAACCCCCACUAAAAUAUAAAGAUUAACAAAAUGCAAGGAAUUGUAUUCCUUAAGGAAUGAUCCACUGCAUUCCAUUGGGAAAAACAAAAGGUUUUUUUUUCAUUCCAGUGGAAUAAACCAUUCCAGUCCUUCUCUAAUUCCAUCAUACCAAACACUAACUAAAAACAUACUUUUGUUUUGUAUCAGGAGGAUCAGCUAAGGCGUCAGUGAUUCGGUAGUCAAUAGUAGGCAAGCCAGUGGUAUUUGGGUACCCAAUCCAAGUCACCUAUUCAGUAAAUGAAGCCA
rnacentral:lncRNA from 1 species